AGAGUUUGAUCCUGGCUCAGGAUGAACGCUAGCGGCAGGCUUAACACAUGCAAGUCGAGGGGUAACAGGAUUUAGUUUACUAGAUUGCUGACGACCGGCGCACGGGUGAGUAACGCGUAUACAAUUUACCUUUUACUGGAGAAUAGCCCAGAGAAAUUUGGAUUAAUGCUCCAUAGUAUUGAUUGGUCACCUGGCCGAUUGAUUAAAGUUUCGACGGUAAAAGAUGAGUAUGCGUCCUAUUAGCUAGAUGGUAAGGUAACGGCUUACCAUGGCGACGAUAGGUAGGGGUCCUGAGAGGGAGAUCCCCCACACUGGUACUGAGACACGGACCAGACUCCUACGGGAGGCAGCAGUGAGGAAUAUUGGGCAAUGGAGGCAACUCUGACCCAGCCAUGCCGCGUGCAGGAAGACUGCCCUAUGGGUUGUAAACUGCUUUUAUACAGGAAGAAACUUAUCCACGUGUGGAUAACUGACGGUACUGUAAGAAUAAGGACCGGCUAACUCCGUGCCAGCAGCCGCGGUAAUACGGAGGGUCCGAGCGUUAUCCGGAAUCAUUGGGUUUAAAGGGUCCGUAGGCGGGCAAUUAAGUCAGAGGUGAAAUCCCACAGCUCAACUGUGGAACUGCCUUUGAUACUGGUUGUCUUGAGUUAUAGUGAAGUAGAUAGAAUAUGUAGUGUAGCGGUGAAAUGCAUAGAUAUUACAUAGAAUACCGAUUGCGAAGGCAGUCUACUAACUGUACACUGACGCUAAUGGACGAAAGCGUGGGGAGCGAACAGGAUUAGAUACCCUGGUAGUCCACGCCGUAAACGAUGGUCACUAGUUGUUGGGGUCUUGUACCUCAGUGAUUAAGAGAAAUUGAUAAGUGACCCACCUGGGGAGUACGAUCGCAAGAUUGAAACUCAAAGGAAUUGACGGGGGCCCGCACAAGCGGUGGAGCAUGUGGUUUAAUUCGAU
rnacentral:rRNA from 1 species